ACCAACCAUCCUGGUUUGCCUGAGACUGAGGGACUUCCCAGGAUGUGAGACUUUAAGUUUUCAAACCAGUAAAGUC
rnacentral:miRNA from 1 species